AUGAACAACAGUCCAACAACAAGUUCAAGUGAGCCAAAGCUGAAUCAAACUGCAAUCAGAGGCUGUUUGAUCCACAUUUACAAUCCAGAAAAAAAGAGAAUAAAAACACUAAAAACACUAAAAACACUUUUUCUCCCACACUUUACAACCACUUCCUGUUUCUUUGUCUCCCGGGCAACGGGGCCGUCCUGUUACUGCCACCUACUGGUCUGGAGUGAAUCAGGAUUUUAACAAUAAAGUUCAACAGCAACACAAACUGUCAUAAUUCAGCUAAACUCUAUCUGCCUUCUGAGGACAUGCAAUCGAGGACCACUUUCCCCAAAUCACACAGUAAAUAGGGGUUUUAAACACAUGGACUUUAUCUAAAUAAACUAAAAGGAAUUUAAGGAUCUGACUUUUGAAAAUUAAAACACAGUUCCCAAAAUUAUUCCUCCACUCUUUCCAUCCUUGGUUCUUUAAACAUAUUGACCUGAUAUCUAAAUAUGUCAUCCUUUGUAAAAUGUUGAAGAUCAAGGCCCAAAACAAUAUUAAAUAACCACAAAUGUUCCCACAGCAGCGGCUCUGUUCAUAAGUACAGCACUCUACAACAAUCAGCUACAGCAUAUAGCUUCUCAAUAUGUUCUUUAUUCUCCCUUAGGAGUGAACAAAGGGUUAAAAAGCUGCACACAUUUCCUGAUAACGCGCUGAAGCAGCAGAGGUGUGUAACUCGCAGUAAGACAAGCUGAGAUUAACGUUAACAGAUUAAACACAAUUAUAAAAAAGGAGUUGAAAUGCAGUUUUGAGAAGUUUUUAAAGAUAUAAAAGGAAAUCAUGAAGCGAAGGUCUGUACUGCUGCUUACCCGUUCUCGAUGUCAACAGUCUGGACACACCUCCUGAAAUGAUUCUUCCUCCUGUAAUUAAAGAGAAACACAGCUCAGUUUAAUCAGAUACACACAAACACUAACUUUACCCAACUUGCAGAGAUGAUCCACAGAUUCUAUGGCGAUAAGAUUAAAACCAUAAUAACAAAGUAAUGUUCUUAAAAAUAUAAAAUAAUAAUAAUAAACUCUGAAGGGAACCAGUCCAAAACAGGAUGUUCUAGUAUAAGUGUAAACUAAAACUAUUAAAGUGUGGAAUGAAGAAUCUGAACUGGUGCUUCAGGACUGCUUAAACAGUACAGAAUGAGACAAGAGACAAUACAGACUGAAGCUGGAGGGAUAUUACACCACUGCUGAUCCCCAGAGCGUGACGCAAGGUCUGCAACACAUCACAGACUACAAACAGAAGAGUUUGGGGGCCUCAACCAGAUGAGUCACACUACUGGGUGAGCUCAACGAGUUCUACNNNNNNNNNNNNNNNNNNNNAGCGGCUGCAGCUGUGUCCGCAUCUGGAUGUGGCUGAUUGUCGUCUGUGGUCAGCAGUUCAGAUAUGAAGCAGGAAACAUUCUCCAGGUCCUGUCUCAUUUUGAGACAAUCUGUGGUCUUAGACGUGUACUUUUCAACCUGUGUGUUUGACAGGUGAUCGGCUGAUUGACUGUCUAGAAAAGAGAACUGGUCCCCGCUGGAGUGAAGUGGGAGAUUAAUCGGACCCCCGCAGGGCGAACUCAUGUCCCCCACAAAAUAUAAUACAGUCCACAGUCCGUGAUAGUGAUUGCCACAACACCAGAGACGGCACCACCCGUGGAAGGCGGCUGGUCCUAAUGGCCUCAGUACCGGCUCUCCCCAGGGCUGUGCACUGAGUCCCUUGCUCUACUCCCUCUACACACACGACUGCUCCCCUGUCCAUCACAGCAACACCAUGGUGAAAUAACAUCACACAAAGACUACUGGUGUCCUUUUACCAUGCCUCCAUUG
rnacentral:lncRNA from 15 species